UACGUAGGGUGCGAGCGUUAAUCGGAAUUACUGGGCGUAAAGCGUGCGCAGGCGGUUCGUUGUGUCGGCGGUGAAAGCCCCGGGCUCAACCCUGGGAAUGGCCGUUGAAACUGGCGAACUGGAGUGUGGCAGAGGGGGGGUGGAAUUCCGCGUGUAGCAGUGAAAUGCGUAGAGAUGCGGAGGAACACCGAUGGCGAAGGGCAGCCCCCCUGGGCUGACACUGACGCUCAGGCACGAAAGCGUGGGGAGCAAACAGG
rnacentral:rRNA from 1 species